rnacentral:rRNA from 1 species
UGGGGAAUAUUGGACAAUGGGGGCAACCCUGAUCCAGCCGUGCCGCGUGUGUGAAGAAGGCCUUUUGGUUGUAAAGCACUUUAAGCAGGGAGGAGAGGCUAAUGGUUAAUACCCAUUAGAUUAGACGUUACCUGCAGAAUAAGCACCGGCUAACUCUGUGCCAGCAGCCGCGGUAAUACAGAGGGUGCGAGCGUUAAUCGGAAUUACUGGGCGUAAAGCGAGUGUCGGUGGCUCAUUAAGUCACAUGUGAAAUCCCCGGGCUUAACCUGGGAACUGCAUGUGAUACUGGUGGUGCUAGAAUAUGUGAGAGGGAAGUAGAAUUCCAGGUGUAGCGGUGAAAUGCGUAGAGAUCUGGAGGAAUACCGAUGGCGAAGGCAGCUUCCUGGCAUAAUAUUGACACUGAGAUUCGAAAGCGUGGGUAGCAAACAG